CCUUCUGGCAUUUGAUUAAUCUUGGAAAAAGUUGAAGUCCAGUUUGAUUUCAUGACUUAAUGCCAUGAGAUUCAUUGACUGUCAUUUGUCAUUUUUAAGAUAUCUCUAUCAGGUGUCACACAUGUGACUAUCUACAAAAUGGCUCUUAUCAGGGAGAGAAGACUUUAAAGACUUGAACCUUGAAUGAGGAUUUCGUUAUUGCCGUCACUAUUUUUUUUUUCUUUUUAUGGCUGCACCCGCAGCAUGCGGAAGUUCCCAGGUUGAAUCAGAGCUGCAGCUGAGUGUUGCUGUGGCUGUGGUGUAGGCCGGCAGUUGCAGCUCCUGGGAAGUUCCAUAUGCUGCACGUGCGGCCAUAAAAAUAUAUAGAUGGGUAGAUAGACGGAUAGAUAAUGCUGCAUCCCUUUCUGCCAUUCAUCUGGAGUGAGUUCUCAAGCCUCCUGAAAAACUCCAAUAAAUUCUGGUUCUUAGUCUAUUUUAAAACAUGAAGGAUUUACAAGAGUAAUUCAUUAUCAAAUCUUAAGUUGUAAAUAUGACGGAUUCACACUGUUACUUUUCAAGUUCAAAGAGAAGACCAUGACAUUAUGGAAGCUGCUGGUUGCUCCGCCUUUGGGUUGCUAUAAAAUCAGGUCAGAACCCUGCCCGGACUCGCUCUCCCCUGCUGUCCCCUCAGCACACACGCUUAUGUAAGAAUGAGCUCAAAGCAUGGUUGGUUGGCUACUUUUCUUCUUAAAACCUAACUUCCAAGGACCUUUAUUUCAAUUAUUGAUGAUGUGCAUGGAGUUUCUGUGUCAGGCGUUUUUGUCUGAGUUAUAGAACCAUCUGGAACAGGGGAGGAACAUUUCCCAAUAUCCCAGUAUAGUCGCCCAGAGUGAAUCAACCUGUAAACCUCUGGGAUCACUGAAUUGUGGCUUGCACCUACAAUGCUAUCUAGCUGAGAUUUCUGCACACAAUUUCUUCGGCAUGUUUCUUCCAGCUGGUUUUUGGUCCUGUGCUUUCUCUUCCAUAUGGCCUUAGAGCAGGGUGCAUCUUCCAGGUAGCCAUUGCUUCUAUAAUUCAAUUUUCUAUUGUCUUUUUUCCUUUAAUUGCAUAAUGCAUGGUUCAUGAGCCCCAUCUCCUGCAUAAGCAUCUGCAUCUUAUUCUACUGCCUCCCCAAGUUCCUAUUUAGUAUAUUACAUAGUUUAAGAAAGAAAAGGGGGGGGUCCCAUUGUGUCUCAGUGGGUUAAGAACGUGACAUAGUGUCCAUGAGAAUGAGGGUUCCAUCCCUGGCCUCGCUCAGUGGGUUAAGGAUCCGGCCUUGCCGUGAGCUGUGGUGUAGGUCACAGAUGGUGGCUCACAUCCGGCAUUGCUGUGGCUGUGGUGUAGGCCGGCAGCUGCAGCUCUGAUUUGACCCCUAGCCUGGGGACCUCCGUAUGCUGCACCUGUGGCCCUAAACGGCAAACAAACAAACAAACAAAAAGCCCAACCAUAAAAGAACUUGAGGUUUCUGAAGAGCUGUGACACAGAAUUGCUUUGGUGACUCUGAUCCCAUUUGUUGCACCCGGAGCAGAAGGGAGAUGUCAAGAAAACCUGUCCUUUGCUUUUCAUUCACUGGCUGCUUGGAAAGGCAGGUGUAUGAACGAGUAUUUCUCUGUGUGUUAACAGGAACCAAGAAAAAAAAAUCCUAUAGGCAACAGUGACAUCAGUCUUUGUAUGUUUCAUAUCCUUGGUAAGAAGCAUUAUUAUAGUAGGAAAAAAAAAUUCCAGCACUAGUUUAUUGUGUUCUAUGGCUCCCUAGCCCUUUUCCUGUAGUUUUUUUCUUUCUGCUGCCUGGCAACUUCUUCCAAGUCUCAUGCCAAGUCCACCACCAUUACCACCAAGAAAAUAUGGAUUCACUCACUUUGGGGUACACUGCAGCCCAACCUUUUCCUCCCUUGUCUGUUUAUUCUUUUCUUCUUUCUCCUUAGCCUUGUUACUUCCCCAGAUCACGAUGCCUGUCCAGAUCGGCAUUCUUCCGUCUCCGACAGUUCCUCAACGAUGUUCAGAGGGCAUGGCAGGUGUAUGGCUAACAUGAAGCGUCUUCCCCUUAAACUCUCUAGUCAGCUGCUGACGCAUUCAUGCAGCAGGCAUGUACUAGAUGUUGACUCUGUGCAGCUCCUGCCCUCAAGGGGAUCACAGUCCUGGAUGUGCAUGAGAGGGGGAUGGGGCGCAAAGUGACCAUGACCGACGACCCACUAAGUUCUGUUUAAGGAGGCUGGGAGGCGUGCAUCUAGGGUACCCUAGAUGUUUAGGAUGUAGACAGGCAGGGAUAGGAAGUGUAAGAAUUCUAGGUCGGAGGGUCAUCAUGAGCAAAGGCUGUGAAGCAGUAAGGCACAGGAAGCAUGCAGAGAAGAGCUCAGUUUUCCUGGAAGUACGAGGAGUUUACAAAGCCUAGUGAGGGGGCAUGAAGAGGUGGGUUUGGUGUGUGCAGAAGGACUGGCUUAUGUGGAGUUUGGGCUUCCAAACACAGAGCGGGUCCAUCAGGGAUGUUUGCGUAGAAGCGCAGCAUCAGAGAAGGACUUUCCUCUCUAGGCAGUUUCUGCAUUCCUGGCACACAGGCGCUGGAAGGGACCUAUCUAGCCCAGUCUCCACCUGCUUCAGAGGAGGCGUUCCUUAGAGGAUGACUGACUUGGUCAAGGUCAAAACGUUGGAUACCUUUUCUCCCAAGCAAUAUGGUGCCCAGUGUUGGGUUUGUUUGCGCCCACCGGCGCGCCUUAAGAGGUACCCUUGGAGGUCUGCAAAUAGUCUUUUUGCAAAACGAAAUGGAGUAUUUGUGUAAUUUACACUAUAGGAACAUUUUCACAAGUUGAUAGUGUAGGCCUUAUACUUUAAUGAGAAGGGAUUUCAUAGAUAACCCAAUGGCCAAAUUUGAAGACAUGAUUUU
ensembl:lncRNA